rnacentral:rRNA from 1 species
UACGGAGGGUGCGAGCGUUAUCCGGAUUUAUUGGGUUUAAAGGGUCCGUAGGCGGUAGAUUAAGUCAGUGGUGAAAUCCUACAGCUCAACUGUAGAAUUGCCAUUGAUACUGGUUUACUUGAGUAAGGUUGAAGUGGUUAGAAUGUGUAGUGUAGCGGUGAAAUGCAUAGAUAUUACACGGAAUACCGAUAGCGAAGGCAGAUCACUAAGCCUUUACUGACGCUGAGGGACGAAAGCGUGGGGAGCGAACAGG